GGCCCGAAAGCUCUAGAAUGCACCCCCCUUCUUCCCCGGGGCCUUCCACCUCCGCGAGUUUUAUGACUUAAAAAACCCCACAGGCUGGUCUGAAGGUCGGAGGCCUAAUUUUAACGCGUUUUCCUCCCUUUAAUUUGAAACGCGAACGCGAAUGGCUGUAAAAUGUGGGCACAAUAUUUAAUUUCUCGCCUUUUUAAAGCUUAAUAGUGGAUAAUAGGGGGCAGUAUCAAGGGAUAAUUUGGGUCCCCACAGUACCAAAGCAUUUAGAAACCUCUGUUUAAUUUAAGGAAUGAGAUAAAUUACUGCUUUUCUAGACUUCCUAGCAUGGGCUGUUGUGCUGGAGAGAACGAGAGCUACGAAGAGACUACAAUGCCUCUGACUUUUUCAUAGGACAGUUGGCCGAGGAAGACAAACAUAAAGAUGAAGUGCUUAAUUCAAGGUCACACAAUGUCGGGGAUGGACCUCCAGAUUUCCUUACUGACCUGCAUUAUCUUGUGGAUACCUGAGUGAAUUCCACACCACCCAUUUUAUAGAUGAAACCACUGAGACAUGGAGCAACUGACUGAGUAGUCACUGCCCCACCCCUGCCUGGAGCCUCACACAUGACUCGUCUCCUCUCAGUGACCACAGGAAAACAAGCUCAGGGCUCCCACUGAUUGUACAUUAUGGUGAGACGUGGUCUUGUAACACAGUGGUUAAGAAUGUGACUUUGGAGCCAGCCUGC
rnacentral:antisense_RNA from 1 species